GGAGGGAUCAUUAAAGAGUUCUAUAACUCCCAAACCCAUGUGAACAUACCUAACGUUGCCUCGGCAGGUCGCACCUACCUUGUAGCACCCUACCCUGUAGGGCCUACCCGGGAGGUGCGGGUAAGCCUGCCGGCGGCCCACCAAACUCUGUUUGAUAUUGAAUUCUGAACCUAUAACUAAAUAAGUUAAAACUUUCAACAACGGAUCUCUUGGUUCUGGCAUCGAUGAAGAACGCAGCGAAAUGCGAUAAGUAAUGUGAAUUGCAGAAUUCAGUGAAUCAUCGAAUCUUUGAACGCAUAUUGCGCCCAUUAGUAUUCUAGUGGGCAGGACCGUUCGAGCGUCAUUUCAACCCUUAAGCCUUCGUUGCUUAGUGUUGGGAGCCUACGGCAACGUAGCUCCUCAAAGUUAGUGGCGGAGUUGGUUCACACUCUAGACGUAGUAAUUUUUUAUCUCGCCUAUUAGUUGGACUAAUCCCCUGCCGUAAAACCCCCAAUUUAUCAAGGUUGACCUCGAAUCGGUUCAGACAAACUCGCUAAAUUGAAGCAUCUUAGUCAGCGAAGGAAAAGAAACCAACAGGGAUUGCCCUAGUAACGGCGAGUGAAGCGGCAACAGCUCAAAUUUGAAAUCUGGCCCUCG
rnacentral:rRNA from 1 species